UGCGUAGGCGGAUUAAUAAGUCAGUGGUGAAAACCUGCAGCUUAACUGUAGAACUGCCAUUGAUACUGUUAGUCUUGAGUACGGUCAAGGUAGGCGGAAUGUGUAAUGUAGCGGUGAAAUGCUUAGAUAUUACACAGAACACCGAUUGCGAAGGCAGCUUACUGGACCAUCACUGACGCUGAGGCACGAAAGCGUGGGGAGCGAACAGGAUUAGAUACCCUGGUAGUCC
rnacentral:rRNA from 1 species